rnacentral:tRNA from 1 species
CCAUCGGUGGUUCAGUGGUAGAAUGCACGCGUUCGGCCCGGGUUCGAUUCCCGGCCGAUGCA